rnacentral:rRNA from 1 species
GAUGAACGCUGGCGGCGUGCUUAACACAUGCAAGUCGAACGAAGCAUUUAAGACAGAUUACUUCGGUUUGAAGUCUUUUAUGACUGAGUGGCGGACGGGUGAGUAACGCGUGGGUAACCUGCCUCAUACAGGGGGAUAGCAGCUGGAAACGGCUGGUAAUACCGCAUAAGCGCACAGUACCACAUGGUACAGUGUGAAAAACUCCGGUGGUAUGAGAUGGACCCGCGUCUGAUUAGCUUGUUGGCGGGGUAACGGCCCACCAAGGCGACGAUCAGUAGCCGACCUGGGAGGGUGACCGGCCACAUUGGGACUGAGACACGGCCCAGACUCCUACGGGAGGCAGCAGUGGGGAAUAUUGCACAGUGGAGGAAACUCUGAUGCAGCGACGCCGCGUGAGUGAAGAAGUAGUUCGCUAUGUAAAGCUCUAUCAGCAGGGAAGAUAGUGACGGUACCUGACUAAGAAGCUCCGGCUAAAUACGU